UUGCUUCUCUUGAGAGCGGCGGACGGGUGAGUAAUGCCUAGGAAUCUGCCUGGUAGUGGGGGAUAACGUCCGGAAACGGACGCUAAUACCGCAUACGUCCUACGGGAGAAAGCAGGGGACCUUCGGGCCUUGCGCUAUCAGAUGAGCCUAGGUCGGAUUAGCUAGUUGGUGGGGUAAUGGCUCACCAAGGCGACGAUCCGUAACUGGUCUGAGAGGAUGAUCAGUCACACUGGAACUGAGACACGGUCCAGACUCCUACGGGAGGCAGCAGUGGGGAAUAUUGGACAAUGGGCGAAAGCCUGAUCCAGCCAUGCCGCGUGUGUGAAGAAGGUCUUCGGAUUGUAAAGCACUUUAAGUUGGGAGGAAGGGCAGUAAAUUAAUACUUUGCUGUUUUGACGUUACCGACAGAAUAAGCACCGGCUAACUCUGUGCCAGCAGCCGCGGUAAUACAGAGGGUGCAAGCGUUAAUCGGAAUUACUGGGCGUAAAGCGCGCGUAGGUGGUUCGUUAAGUUGGAUGUGAAAUCCCCGGGCUCAACCUGGGAACUGCAUUCAAAACUGACGAGCUAGAGUAUGGUAGAGGGUGGUGGAAUUUCCUGUGUAGCGGUGAAAUGCGUAGAUAUAGGAAGGAACACCAGUGGCGAAGGCGACCACCUGGGACUGAUACUGACACUGAGGUGCGAAAGCGUGGGGAGCAAAC
rnacentral:rRNA from 1 species